AGGUAACUCAGCCGACUGCCAGAUUGCUUAAACCCGUAGAUCCGAACUUGUGUUAGGGUUCGGCUCGCAAGCUCGCAUCUAUGGGUCUAUGUCGUCAUGGCAAAACACACCUGGCUGAC
rnacentral:precursor_RNA from 14 species